rnacentral:lncRNA from 1 species
CACUUCUGAACUAAUUCAAUGAACGCAAUGAAUUUUAAUUAAUGAUCACCUUCAUGUGAAACAUUAUCGUUAUUUAUUUAUCCAUCUCUAAGAUAACUAAAAAUAUUGUUUAAUAAUAAAACAUUUCUUGUCCUUUUUAAAAGCAUACAACAUUUAAAACGGGCCAUAUAAUGACUGCGUGUUUGGAAAGCAGGAAAGAUGGCAAUCACAGGUUUUCGAAAUGUAUUGUGGGGGGGGGUUUAACCAACGUUAAAAGCGUCUCUUAAUAUGUUCCUUUCAUUGCCAUUAUAGUUGAUUAUGAGCGCCGUAUUCUGCAACCUUUCCUUUCCUCCCCCUAAUUAAUAAUAGCAUCAGUAGAUCAGCAUGCAUGCUGGAUGGUUUAACCAACUUUAAAAGCGUCUCUUAAAUUGGAUCAACGUCCUGCCAAAGUCUGUGCUUUAUAUAAUGUAUAAUAUAUUCCUUUCAUUUCCAGUAGUUGACUGUGAGUGCCGUAUUCUGCAACCUUUCCUUUUCUCACUACAAUAAUAGUAUCAGCAUGUUGGAUGGUUUAACCAACUUUAAAAGCGUCUCUUAAAUUAGAUCAACGUCCUGCCAAAGUCUGUGCUUUAUAUAAUGUAUAAUAUAUUCCUUUCAUUGCCAGUAGUUGAUUAUGAGUGCCGCAUUCUGCAACCUUUCCUUUCCUCACUACAACAAUAGAAUCAGCAUGCUGGAUGGCAACUAGUUAACCAACUUUAAAAGCGCGGUCUCUUAAUAAAAUUAGAUCAACGUCCUGCCAAAGUCUGUGCUUUAUAUAAUGUAUAAUAUAUUCCUUUCAUUGCCAGUAGUUGAUUAUGAGUGCCGCAUUCUGCAACCUUUCCUUUCCUCACUACAACAAUAGAAUCAGCAUGCUGGAUGGCAACUAGUUAACCAACUUUAAAAGCGCGGUCUCUUAAUAAAAUUAGAUCAACGUCCUGCCAAAGUCUGUGCUUUAUAUAAUGUAUAAUAUAUUCCUUUCAUUGCCAGUAGUUGAUUAUGAGUGCCGCAUUCUGCAACCUUUCCUUUCCUCACUACAACAAUAGAAUCAGCAUGCUGGAUGGCAACUAGUUAACCAACUUUAAAAGCGCGGUCUCUUAAUAAAAUUAGAUCAACGUCCUGCCAAAGUCUGUGCUUUAUAUAAUGUAUAAUAUAUUCCUUUCAUUGCCAGUAGUUGAUUAUGAGUGCCGCAUUCUGCAACCUUUCCUUUCCUCACUACAACAAUAGAAUCAGCAUGCUGGAUGGCAACUAGUUAACCAACUUUAAAAGCGCGGUCUCUUAAUAAAAUUAGAUCAACGUCCUGCCAAAGUCUGUGCUUUAUAUAAUGUAUAAUAUAUUCCUUUCAUUGCCAGUAGUUGAUUAUGAGUGCCGCAUUCUGCAAC